ACCCAGAUGAAGAGUUCAAAAUAGAACGAAAUGCGCAUCCUGGUAU
rnacentral:hammerhead_ribozyme from 1 species